AUUGAACGCUGGCGGCAGGCCUAACACAUGCAAGUCGAACGAGUGGCGGACGGGUGAGUAAUGUCUGGGAAACUGCCUGAUGGAGGGGGAUAACUACUGGAAACGGUAGCUAAUACCGCAUACCAUCGGAUGUGCCCAGAUGGGAUUAGCUAGUAGGUGGGGUAAAGGCGCACCUAGGCGACGAUCCCUAGCUGGUAUGAGAGGAUGAUCAGUCACACUGGAACUGGGACCCGGUCCAGACUCCUACGGGAGGCAGCAGUUGGGAAUGUUGGACAAUGGGCGAAAGCCUUAUCCAGCCAUGCCGCGUGUGUGAAGAAGGUCUUCGGAUUGUAAAGCCCUUUAAGUUGGGAGGCGUUACCAACAGAAUAAGCACCGGCUAACUUCGUGCCAGCAGCCGCGGUAAUUC
rnacentral:rRNA from 1 species